AGUGAACGCUGGCGGUAGGCCUAACACAUGCAAGUCGAACGGCAGCACAGUAAGAGCUUGCUCUUACGGGUGGCGAGUGGCGGACGGGUGAGGAAUACAUCGGAAUCUACUUUUUCGUGGGGGAUAACGUAGGGAAACUUACGCUAAUACCGCAUACGACCUACGGGUGAAAGCAGGGGAUCUUCGGACCUUGCGCGAUUGAAUGAGCCGAUGUCGGAUUAGCUAGUUGGCGGGGUAAAGGCCCACCAAGGCGACGAUCCGUAGCUGGUCUGAGAGGAUGAUCAGCCACACUGGAACUGAGACACGGUCCAGACUCCUCCGGGAGGCAGAAGUGGGAAAUAUUGGACAAUGGGCGCAAGCCUGAUCCAGCCAUACCGCGUGGGUGAAGAAGGCCUUCGGGUUGUAAAGCCUUUUUGUUGGGAAAGAAAAGCAGCGGGUUAAUACCCCGCUGUUCUGACGGUACCAAAAGAAUAAGCACCGGCUAACUUCGUG
rnacentral:rRNA from 1 species